CUUGAGGAUCCAUACCAGGCCGAACAAGGCGGCAAACAUGCAGAUUGUGAUGCAAUAAAGCAGAUAAUGAGGCUUGAUGUGGUUGAGGAAGGCACUUGUUAGCACAUUAAUUAGACAAUGACUCGACGAUGUCAACGAGAAUCGAUAAUAGUGUUUUGGAUUGGACUCGAGCACGUGAACUCAUGCAAUCUUUACCAGCGGUUUAGAUGGACGCACAUUUCGCUUAGCCUAGUUUGCGGAUUUUGCGGCAGGAAUGUGGUAUAAAAAUGUGUAUAUACAGUUAAAAAUUUGCUUAAAAAGCAAUCAGUAUUCUACAUGUUUGCUUGUUCGUCAAAUGACUGUGAUUUAUUAGGGACAUAAUGGAUCAAUCAAUUGCCGACAUUUUGUUUUUUUUCUAGUAUUUAUUUAACAUUAACAAAGUUGACUGUGAACAGAUCUAAAUAAAUAGAAUUUUAAUGUUUCGUU